rnacentral:piRNA from 1 species
UAAUAUUUAUGCAAGAUAAGAAUGAGGGAC